rnacentral:rRNA from 1 species
CCAGACUCCUACGGGAGGCAGCAGUGAGGAAUAUUGGUCAAUGGCCGGGAGGCUGAACCAGCCAAGUCGCGUGAGGGAAGACGGCCCUACGGGUUGUAAACCUCUUUUGUCAGGGAGCAAGGUGCAGGUCGGGACCUGCUGUGAGAGUACCUGAAGAAAAAGCAUCGGCUAACUACGUGCCAGCAGCCGCGGUAAUACGUAGGGAGCAAGCGUUGUCCGGAAUUACUGGGCGUAAAGGGCGCGUAGGUGGGCGCUUAAGUCAGGUGUGAAAACUCCGGGCUCAACCUGGAGACUGCACUUGAAACUGGGUGUCUUGAGGGCAGGAGAGGAAAGUGGAAUUCCUAGUGUAGCGGUGAAAUGCGUAGAUAUUAGGAGGAACACCAGUGGCGAAGGCGACUUUCUGGACUGUACCUGACGCUGAGGCGCGAAAGCGUGGGUAGCGAACGGGAUUAGAUACCCCGGUAAUG